rnacentral:rRNA from 1 species
CAAGCUCAAAUUUGAAAUCUGGCUCUUUCAGAGUCCGAGUUGUAAUUUGAAGAAGGUAUCUUUGGGUCUGGCUCUUGUCUAUGUUUCUUGGAACAGAACGUCACAGAGGGUGAGAAUCCCGUGCGAUGAGAUGAUCCAGGCCUAUGUAAAGUUCCUUCGAAGAGUCGAGUUGUUUGGGAAUGCAGCUCUAAGUGGGUGGUAAAUUCCAUCUAAAGCUAAAUAUUGGCGAGAGACCGAUAGCGAACAAGUACAGUGAUGGAAAGAUGAAAAGAACUUUGAAAAGAGAGUGAAAAAGUACGUGAAAUUGUUGAAAGGGAAGGGCUUGAGAUCAGACUUGGUAUUUUGUAUGUUACUUCUUCGGGGGUGGCCUCUACAGUUUAUCGGGCCAGCAUCAGUUUGGGCGGUAGGAGAAUUGCGUUGGAAUGUGGCACGACUUUGGUUGUGUGUUAUAGCCUUCGUCGAUACUGCCAGCCUAGACUGAGGACUGCGGUUUAUACCUAGGAUGUUGGCAUAAUGAUCUUAAGUCGCCCGUCUUGA